rnacentral:tRNA from 1 species
GGAGGUUUAGCUCAGCGGCAUAAGCGCCUGCCUUGCAAGCAGAAGGUUGUGAGUUCGAUCCCCCGUCCCCCU